rnacentral:tRNA from 1 species
UUCUAUGGUGUAAUGGUUAGCACUCUGGACUUUGAAUCCAGUGAUCCGAGUUCAAAUCUCGGUAGAA